GACACAGCCGGGAUUUCCAGCCGGCGCUUUUGCACAUCCCACUUCUUCAGAUCCCUUCGGCAACUGCGAAGUCGCCUGGAUUUCCCAGCAACCUGCAUUCCAUUUGUCUCAUUGACCCUACUGCAUUUUUCCUUCGCAUCAUUAAAAAGGAUGUAAUGUACAGAAAAGCACAGACAGACCUAAACUCCAAUGCCAACCAUGCCAUCUGCUGAUUAUAAGACAGUGGAACAGAGUGCAUACAGAAAGAGCUCAGAAGUGAAAGAUGCGCAGAGUGCCCACAGUGGCAGCAACUAGCUGAGGGGCCUUCAGAUCGCAGCCUUCCGGA